GGAGGGGCCAUCAAAGUUUCAAGUGGAGGGGAUAAAGUCAGUGGUUGCUUGUCCUGCUUCUGUGACAAACCGGACUUUCACAUAAGGUACAGGUGUUCAGUUACUGACCACCCAGGAGCUCUGAGACAUGUCCAGGAGGUGCAGGUUACUGUGGAAGGGUGUUGAAAACUACAAAACGGACUCUCUUAAGCCUGGUCACCGUCAGGGUCCGUCAUGACUGCAAGUGGCUCACUUUC